rnacentral:rRNA from 1 species
UACGAAGGGGGCUAGCGUUGCUCGGAUUGACUGGGCGUAAAGGGCGCGUAGGCGGUUCGUACAGUCAGACGUGAAAUUCCUGGGCUCAACCUGGGGGCUGCGUUUGAUACGUGCGGACUUGAGUGCGGAAGAGGGUCGUGGAAUUCCCAGUGUAGAGGUGAAAUUCGUAGAUAUUGGGAAGAACACCGGUGGCGAAGGCGGCGACCUGGACGGAUACUGACGCUGAGACGCGAAAGCGUGGGGAGCAAACAGG